GAUGAACGCUGGCGGCGUGCCUAAUACAUGCAAGUCGAGCGAACGGACGAGAAGCUUGCUUCUCUGAUGUUAGCGGCGGACGGGUGAGUAACACGUGGAUAACCUACCUAUAAGACUGGGAUAACUUCGGGAAACCGGAGCUAAUACCGGAUGAUAUUUUGAACCGCAUGGUUCAAAAGUGAAAGACGGUCUUGCUGUCACUUAUAGAUGGAUCCGCGCUGCAUUAGCUAGUUGGUAAGGUAACGGCUUACCAAGGCAACGAUGCAUAGCCGACCUGAGAGGGUGAUCGGCCACACUGGAACUGAGACACGGUCCGGACUCCAACGGGAGGCAGCGGUAGGGAAUCUUCCGCAAUGGGCGAAAGCCUGACGGAGCAACGCCGCGUGAGUGAUGAAGGUCUUCGGAUCGUAAAACUCUGUUAUUAGGGAAGAACAUAUGUGUAAGUAACUGUGCACAUCUUGACGGUACCUAAUCAGAAAGCCACGGCUAACUACGUG
rnacentral:rRNA from 1 species